rnacentral:rRNA from 1 species
AACGUAGGAGGCGAGCGUUAUCCGGAUUGACUGGGCUUAAAGGGUGAGCAGGCGGUUGGCUAAGUGGUGCCUGAAAGCCGUGCGCUCAACGCGCGGAGGCGGUGCCAGACUGGUCGGCUAGAGGGUGCGAGAGGGCUGUGGAAUUCCGGGUGUAGUGGUGAAAUGCGUAGAGAUCCGGAGGAACACCGGUGGCGAAGGCGGCUCACUGGCCCGUUUCUGACGCUCAGGCGCGACAGCGUGGGGAUCAAACAGG